rnacentral:lncRNA from 1 species
GACCAGAUGUACAGAGCUGCGGUUGCCCAUCCAGUCACGAUCCUGACCCACACAGAUGGCCACCCAACAUCCACCAAUCUCCCACUCUCACCAACUGAGGUCGACCACCCUGUCAGGAGCAUAGCUGAAUACAUGCUUGCAAGAGAGAAGAUGAUGUGGAAGAAGGUAUAUGAGUAUGUGACUGGCUUAGCCUCGUGUUUUUCUUCAGGCACAUCCGUCUUUUCCAGUGGAAGCAAAGGCUUUCCAGCACCUUUAUGAGUAAAAGGAGAGUGUUAGUUCUGAAAGAGCAGACAAAAAAAAAAAAAAAAAGCCUAAAAAUGGGUGAGUCCCUUACAACUUUGUAUAACCUAAAUGUGAAAUAAUGAUUUUUUUUUUCCUGAUCAAUUGUCCCAGAGAAUAGAUGUCUUUUUUUUCACUAAAACUAUAGGAGUCAAAAGCUGCAAGAGAUCUUUAAUUUUCUUAUCUUGAAGUAAACAAAGAUUCAGAGACAAAAGAUAAAACAUUUGUAGAUACAUAAACAAAAUAUCCCCCUCUGAAACCUUCUGAAGUGAAAGAUCAAAAUCACUACUGUAAUUUGAAACUAAUGAUUUACAAAGCACAGAAGAAAAACGCAACGCAAAUCAGUAGCUCAUGAAGAGAGACCAUGAAAAUUUUGAGAGAGAUUCUACAAGGUUUGAAAUGAAGUAUGAAUAUUCAGGAGAUAUUUUCAGUAUUUUUUAACUUUCCUGAGAAAAAGGUUAUCAAUAGAGAGAAAAUACUGCAAGUAACAAAAAGAUGCCCAUGGGUUGUUUUGUGCAUAUUAGAGAUCUUUUGUGCUCAGAUUGGUCUGGAUGGGUUGUUUUUCUUUUGUUCACCCACUGGGCUUUCUAUCUCUCUCAUGUAUUGCACAUACACACACAUGCAUUUACACGCCAUUUAAGUGCAGCACCUUCUGUAUUAACAUAAAUAUUCAUCUCUCAAGCCUCUUUAUAAUUACCUAAUAAACAGUGUUAUCAAUAUGCUAUAUUCCAAUUCUAUUGCCUUCCUAUGUUAUAAUUCUCACUCUGGUUAUGUAUCUUCUACAAUAAAUAAUCCUUUUUAGAAGUACCAUAGAGCCUUGCAGGCUUGCACUCUUAAUUGCCAAAGUCUACAACAAACCAAGAGACUCAAAAGUGACACUGGUCUUGUCACAGGCUGCUCCAAUCUUUGCACAACCAUGGUAUCAGCAAUAUACGACACCUAGCUCACAAAGUAGGUGUCAUAGAGUGCUCCAUGCAUGCUGCACAUGCUCAUUGGCAAUGUGUCAUGCCCAAAUGGAUGAUGAAACAUUUAGGUUCUUUAUGAAUCUAAAAGCAAAUUUUAUGGGUUCCCAAACAUUUUAUGGAAGGUUAACAUUCAUUUACUUCUUGGAUCACCAUCAGCACAUCAACUAAAAGGAGUCUCUGCAUCCACAUUCCAUAGAAUAGUGUGCAAAGUCAACAUUCAUAAGAGGAUUUAUAUUUUUGUAUGAAUUCUAACCUGCACGUGGUGAACUUGGUGGGGAGAGAAGAGUUGUUGAAGAACCAGCACGAACAGCAGAGUAGAUAACCGACAGAAUAGUGGUCAGCAGUCCCAAGGUAAGGGUGCCAGUGGAAACAGCUUUAGAGUGCUUGUGAAGGCCAUUGCAUUCAUAAUCCCUGGGCUCACUGGAAAGCCCACUGUAGCAGAGGUACAUGC